rnacentral:rRNA from 1 species
GACGAACGCUGGCGGCGUGCUUAACACAUGCAAGUCGAACGGAAAGGCCCUGCUUUUGUGGGGUGCUCGAGUGGCGAACGGGUGAGUAACACGUGAGUAACCUGCCCUUGACUUUGGGAUAACUUCAGGAAACUGGGGCUAAUACCGGAUAGGAGCUCCUGCUGCAUGGUGGGGGUUGGAAAGUUUCGGCGGUUGGGGAUGGACUCGCGGCUUAUCAGCUAGUUGGUGGGGUAGUGGCUUACCAAGGCUUUGACGGGUAGCCGGCCUGAGAGGGUGACCGGCCACAUUGGGACUGAGAUACGGCCCAGACUCCUACGGGGGGCAGCAGUGGGGAAUAUUGCACAAUGGGCGGAAGCCUGAUGCAGCAACGCCGCGUGCGGGAUGACGGCCUUCGGGUUGUAAACCGCUUUCGCCUGUGACGAAGCGUGAGUGACGGUAAUGGGUAAAGAAGCACCGGCUAACUACGUG